GUCGGGCGGAAUGACGAGAGCUUGCUCUCUGAUUUUAGCGGCGGACGGGUGAGUAACACGUGGGCAACCUGCCCUACAGAUGGGGAUAACUCCGGGAAACCGGGGCUAAUACCGAAUAAUCAGUUUGUCCGCAUGGACAAACUCUGAAAGACGGUUUCGGCUGUCACUGUAGGAUGGGCCCGCGGCGCAUUAGCUAGUUGGUGGGGUAAUGGCCUACCAAGGCAACGAUGCGUAGCCGACCUGAGAGGGUGAUCGGCCACACUGGGACUGAGACACGGCCCAGACUCCUACGGGAGGCAGCAGUAGGGAAUCUUCCACAAUGGACGAAAGUCUGAUGGAGCAAUGCCGCGUGAGCGAAGAAGGUUUUCGGAUCGUAAAGCUCUGUUGUAAGGGAAGAACACGUACGGGAGUAACUGCCCGUGCCAUGACGGUACCUUAUUAGAAAGCCACGGCUAACUACGUGCCAGCAGCCGCGGUAAUACGUAGGUGGCAAGCGUUGUCCGGAAUUAUUGGGCGUAAAGCGCGCGCAGGCGGUUCUUUAAGUCUGAUGUGAAAGCCCACGGCUCAACCGUGGAGGGUCAUUGGAAACUGGAGAACUUGAGUACAGAAGAGGAAAGCGGAAUUCCACGUGUAGCGGUGAAAUGCGUAGAGAUGUGGAGGAACACCAGUGGCGAAGGCGGCUUUCUGGUCUGUAACUGACGCUGA
rnacentral:rRNA from 1 species